rnacentral:rRNA from 1 species
AUUGAACGCUGGCGGCAGGCUUAACACAUGCAAGUCGAGCGGGGGGAGGUAGCUUGCUACCGGACCUAGCGGCGGACGGGUGAGUAAUGCUUAGGAAUCUGCCUAUUAGUGGGGGACAACAUCUCGAAAGGGAUGCUAAUACCGCAUACGUCCUACGGGAGAAAGCAGGGGAUCUUCGGACCUUGCGCUAAUAGAUGAGCCUAAGUCGGAUUAGCUAGUUGGUGGGGUAAAGGCCUACCAAGGCGACGAUCUGUAGCGGGUCUGAGAGGAUGAUCCGCCACACUGGGACUGAGACACGGCCCAGACUCCUACGGGAGGCAGCAGUGGGGAAUAUUGGACAAUGGGGGGAACCCUGAUCCAGCCAUGCCGCGUGUGUGAAGAAGGCCUUAUGGUUGUAAAGCACUUUAAGCGAGGAGGAGGCUACUUUAGUUAAUACCUAGAGAUAGUGGACGUUACUCGCAGAAUAAGCACCGGCUAACUCUGUGCCAGCAGCCGCCACGG